ACUGCUCAGUAACACGUAGUCAACAUGCCCAGGGGACGUGGAUAACCUCGGGAAACUGAGGAUAAACCGCGAUAGGCCAAGAUUUCUGGAAUGAAUCAUGGUUUAAAUCUAUAUGGCCCCUGGAUUGGACUGCGGCCGAUCAGGCUGUUGGUGAGGUAAUGGCCCACCAAACCUGUAACCGGUACGGGCUCUGAGAGGAGGAGCCCGGAGAUGGGCACUUAGACAAGGGCCCAGGCCCUAUGGGGCGCAGCAGGCGCGAAACCUCUGCAAUAAGCGAAGGCUUGACAGGGUUACUCUGAGUGAUUUCCGCUAAGGAAGUCUUUUGGCACCUCUAAAAAUGGUGCAGAAUAAGGGGUGGGCAAGUCUGGUGUCAGCCGCCGCGGUAAUACCAGCACCCCGAGUGGUCGGGACGAUUAUUGGGCCUAAAGCAUCCGUAGCCGGUCCUGCAAGUCCUCCGUUAAAUCCACCCGCUCAACGGUUGGGCCGCGGGGGAUACUACAGGGCUAGGAGGCGGGAGAGGCAAGCGGUACUCGAUGGGUAGGGGUAAAAUCCACUGAUCCAUUGAAGACCACCAGUGGCGAAGGCGGCUUGCCAGAACGCGCUCGACGGUGAGGGAUGAAAGCUGGGGGAGCAAACCGGAUUAGAUACCCGGGUAGUCCCAGCUGUAAACGAUGCAGACUCGGUGAUGGGCUGGCUUCGUGCCAACCCGGUGCCGCAGGGAAGCCGUUAAGUCUGCCGCCUGGGGAGUACGGUCGCAAGACUGAAACUUAAAGGAAUUGGCGGGGGAGCA
rnacentral:rRNA from 1 species